rnacentral:rRNA from 1 species
UACGGGGGGGGUAAGCGUUGUUCGGAAUUACUGGGCGUAAAGGGCUCGUAGGCGGCCAACUAAGUCGGACGUGAAAUCCCUCAGCUUAACUGGGGAACUGCAUCCGAUACUGGAUGGCUUGGAUUUGGGAGAGGGAUGCGGAAUUCCAGGUGUAGCGGUGAAAUGCGUAGAUAUCUGGAGGAACACCGGUGGCGAAGGCGGCAUCCUGGACCAAUAUUGACGCUGAGGAGCGAAAGCCAGGGGAGCAAACGGG